rnacentral:rRNA from 1 species
UACGUAGGGUGCGAGCGUUGUCCGGAAUUAUUGGGCGUAAAGGGCUCGUAGGCGGUUUGUCACGUCGGGAGUGAAAACUCAGGGCUUAACCCUGAGCCUGCUUCCGAUACGGGCAGACUAGAGGUAUGCAGGGGAGAAUGGAAUUCCUGGUGUAGCGGUGAAAUGCGCAGAUAUCAGGAGGAACACCGGUGGCGAAGGCGGCUUCCUGGCCUGUAACUGACGCUGAGACGCGAAAGCGUGGGGAGCGAACCGG